GAGAGAAAGAAGCCCACACCAAGGGUUGUCCCAGGCUCCCGGUGUGUUUGCUACUGCUUGCUGCACAGAGUUCCGACAGGGUCCUCCCUUAACAAGCAAAGAGGAAAAUCAUCUCUGUUGCGAUGCCAGUGUGACUCGGCAAAGUUGCAUCUAGCGUGCGCGUCUGUCCUGGCUGAGGGGGGCUGAGAGAGGCUUUGCUGCCCUUUUCCCCCUUGAAUACGAGUUUCUCGUGACUUUCCACCACCCUGAACUCACAAUGAUCCGUCAAGGACCUUCUCCUAUUUCCCUCCCAGCACCAUCCUAAUUUCCUCCCUUCAGUGGCUUCUCUCCUCUUCAUGAUCACUUUAUCCCUUCCUGGACCAGAGGAAAUAACGAGAGACAGUGCCUCCUCCGCUGAAAAUCCACAGCCAGGCAUGGACCCCUCCUCACCACCUCCUACUAUGGUACUUAAAGACCUCACCAUGAAAAACUGGAUUGCAUAAAGGACUGCUCCUGGACAGAGACCCCUGGCUUGUUAUAUUUGCACAACUGGACAGUUUUCAUGGCAUAGAUUGGAUGGACUCUGUCAGUGACAGGAGGCAAUGUCCCUCCUGAAGGAGGGGAAGGGAGUCUCUUCACUAGCAAAUACUCCAGCCAUUGGGGAAAAAAAAAAGAUCCUGUGAUUCCAACCAUGGAACUGCUACUCAAAACAACUGCAAGAAAGAGGAAGUAGAGACCACGCGAGGUAUUUCCGUGUAAGACUGUUCCACCUUGAGAAAAGAAGCAAAAUGUGGAAAUGGGUCCUUCGCUAGAGAAUGGAUUAAAGAGUCUUUGGUCUCUUUCUGAAUUGUGCUACUUAAUUUAUCAUCACCACCAUCAUCAUCAUCUUUGUUGUCAUCAUCUCCAUCAACCGUGCUUCCUACAUGCCAGAAGUGUUGUGUUCCCUGGUUGAUCUCAUUUAAUUCUUCUGACAGCAAUAUGAGGCCUUGGCAGCUAUGCAGAGCAUUGCAGUGAGAAGCUGCUGUCUUGGGGGAGCUUUACUGCUUUUGGAGAUUUAAUACUGAUCUUGAACUUGAGGUGUGUCUGCAUGAACUUCUAUGCACCAGAAACUUUCAUUUCAAUGCUGAAAUGUGGGGUAAGAUUUUGGUGAAAUUUUAAACAAAUUUAGGGAACUACCUUAAGUAAAUUCAACCAGGUAUCACAUGCAGUCUUACUUUGGAAUUGUGAAAAAAAAAUAAUAAUAAGAGUGGAAAUAUGGAAGAGAAUGCAAUAGCUACAACAGCAUAAACAUUGACUAUUAAGAAUCAAAAUAAUAUUCAUAAAAAAUAUUCAUUAAGUUAGGUGUCAACAUUUGUAAGAAAUGCACUGUUCCUGGCUUCGAGGUGGAAGAAGGCCGCCACAAGCUAAGGAAUGUGGGCCGCAUCUAGAAGCUGGAAAAGGCAAGAAAACAGUCUCCUCUAGAGCCUCUAGAAGGAAUACAGUCCUGGUGACACCUUGGUCUUGGCCCAGUGAGACCCAUAUCAGAUUUCUAACCUACAGAACUAUAAGAUAGUACAUUUAUGUUUUCUUAAGCCACUAGGUGUGUAAUCAUUUGUUACAACAGCCACAGGAAAGGAAUGCAUGUAUGGUUCUCUACAUUUUUGGUCUCUGCAGAGACAGGGUGGAUGGGGCCAGGAGACUAGCUCUGGCACUUAGAAUGGGGGAUGGGUGUGAUUUGCCCCCUACCUGGGCAAUGUGCCAUGACCUCUCUCUCUGGUGGUUGGACAGCUGAAUGCAGAGGGUCAGUAGAGGGUCAAGGAGGCUCUAGUGGAUGGCAGAGUCGCUGUUUGCAAGGAGCCUUGAAUCUGAAGUCACCACUUGAAAGAGUGUUGCCUCUGGGAGCUGCCCCAACCAAAUGCAUGAGUCUUAAUCCCCUGAGUUCCCAGAGUUCAUUUUUCCCUGCAGCAGAGCUGCUUCUAGUCUAACUCCAGAAUCUCCAAAUCAGAUUAUUUUUUCUUUUUAAAAAAUUUUUAAAGAGUUUUUUUUCUUUCUUUUUUUUUUUAAGGGAUCAAACUUCUACAUGGGCAAAGUCAGAACUUUGUUGGGCUUCCUUAGCCUUAGUUUGUAAUUCAGUCUUUUUAAAACUUCACGUAGCACAUGGAGAGCAUUGUAAUCAAAUUUCUAUACUUAGGGCUUGUGACGGUCUUAAACCAGUGCUACUUUCUUGGCCACGGAGGCACCCACAGCCUCACAGUGCAGACAGACAGCUCAUUGGUCUCUUACAGGCUCUUCUGGCCUUUUCCUAAAUAUGCUCUCCAGUGCCAUAAAUUUCUACUUUUGUCCAGAGAUUCCUUUUUCUUGGAAUAUGUACCCCACCCCUUCCUUUAAGCUCAGCUCAAUUCCAUCUCCUUCAAGAUGCCUUUCUAGAUUCUCCAAGGAAUAUGAAUUUCCUUCCUCCAUGAUUCCCUGUGUUCUUUCGUAAUACUUAUUAAUGGAUCCCUGUCCUCUCUACCCAAGUACACACACAGGCACAUCCUAAAAUGUAGCUUCUAGAAGGCAAAUAUCAUCCCAGGCUCACUGUGGUCCUUCACCAUAAGAUAGUGCUUUAGGGCAGUAAAUGCUCUGUGCAUUUGCAAAUUUUAGUAAAACCUCUGUGGCUGGUGGAAGAGUUUUGUUUUGUUUGUUUAAGCAGACAGGAUCACGUGGUGCCUUUUAUAUUAUCAUAUAGGACUGGUCCAUUUAUAUAGAGCAAGGGUCCCCCAAGAUUCCUUGUUCAUCAAAAUCUGAAUGACUAAACCAGGCACUGUGCUAAAGGGCCGGAGCACCACGUACCCUGUGGAACUAUCAAAUGUCACCCACUAGGACAGCUGCAAACCACAUAUAGAGUGUACCUACUACGUACCAGACUUUGGGCAGGUGAUCGACAUCAGCCUGAGCCUCUGGCCAGUCCUUCACUUUCUAGGACUUCUUCCCUUUCAGGGAAAUUUGGCCUCCCAGCAUCUGGGGAACAAGCUGCUUAUUUGCUAAUAUCUGUUUGCACAUCAGGGUUUUUUACUUUUAGGAACAGUUUGUCUCUCUGGCAGAUCUCCGUGUUCCCAUACCGUUGUUUAUGAUGUAACUAAGCAUCUAUCGUAUAGAAUUGAACUCAAUUCUCUUUUGAAACUGCAAGAGAUCUAACCCGCUCAUUUUCUUUCCAUUUAACAUACGAGAGGGGUGUGUAGGAGCAGUUUAUUAAGGGGGAGCUGUUUAUUGAGGGAUCCUGGGGCUAAUCCAGCCCAUUAUUUCUCCAUUUCCUUACAGCUCACUGAGAAGGGUGGGAGAGAACAGGAAUGGGGAGACUAUUCUUUCCUGAGUGAUUGUUUGGCCAAUCCACAGGGAUCCUGACUUUCCUACACCCAUCAGGGAAGUAGCAUCCAGAGGGUCAUUCCAGGGACAGGGCUGGCUGUGUCAGGCUGUAAUGAAUGGUUCAGACUGAGAGGUGGAACUUGGCCAACAACAGGGAAAGACAAUAAUCAUUGGAAAAUUUAGGCAUUGAGAAUAAGAUCCAUGUCUGUCUUAUGUCCCCUGGGUACCAACACAAUGACUUGGCUUAGUAACUGCCCCAUAAUGUUUAAAUUAUGUUCAGUGAAUGAGUGAAUGAAUGGAUGCCGUAUUCUUGCUUCCUUCUCCAAACACUCUUUAUAAAAUUACGGCAUCUCAUUCAUGUCUCCUCUAUAAAUCGGGAAUUUGGUGAGGCAUGCUGUUUAUUGCUUAGGAAUCAUUUUACUUAAUCACAAAGGUCCCAGGGGUUCAGGCGGGGAAAAAAAAAAAACAAACAGGUUUGGGAGAAAGAGUAGGAUAGGAUCUUCCUAGAGAUUUUUCUUUCCUUUUUCUUUAAUGGGCGCACCCAUGGAAGAUGGAAAUUCCCAGGCCAGGGAUUGAAGCCCAGCCUCAGCUGUGGCCAGAUCCUUUAACCCACUGCACCAGGCUGGGGAUUGAACCUGCACCUCGACAGUGACCCAAGCUGCUGCAGUGGGAUUCUUAACCCAAGGUGCCACAGCACAGUGAGGCUAGAGCCCCACUUCAACUCCUAUAGAGUUGAAAGCUCUAUAGGAGUUUCUGUUAUGGCUCAGUGGUAACAAACCCUACUAGUAUCCAUGAGGACGCUGGGUUUGAUAAGCGGGUUAAGGCUCUGGUGUUGCCGUGAGCUGUGGUGUAGGUCACAGACACGGUUCAGACCUGCUGUUGCUAUGGCUGUGGUGUAGGCUGGCAGCUACAGCUCCAAUUCGACCUCCAUCCUGGGAACUUUCAUAUGCUGCAGGUUUGGCCCCCAAAAAGACCAAAAAAAAAAAAA
rnacentral:lncRNA from 1 species